AUACGGGGGGUGCAAGCGUUAAUCGGAAUUACUGGGCGUAAAGCGCGCGUAGGCGGUUUGCUCAGUCGGAUGUGAAAGCCCAGGGCUCAACCUUGGAACUGCAUACGAUACUGGCAAACUAGAGUGUGAGAGAGGAUAGUGGAAUUUCCGGUGUAGCGGUGAAAUGCGUAGAUAUCGGAAGGAACAUCAGUGGCGAAGGCGACUGUCUGGCUCAACACUGACGCUGAGGUGCGAAAGCGUGGGUAGCAAACAGAAUUAGAUACCCCAGUAGUCC
rnacentral:rRNA from 1 species